CCGCACAUUUAUGAGGUAUAUAACGCCAAAAAUGAAAAUUGAAAACACAGACACGAGAUAUCUUCAGAGUUACAUAAGGACAAGAAAUUACAAAAUUACAUUUUCCAUUAAAAUUACAGGAAUAUCUAUACACUUCUUUUCAAGUUCGAAUAAUAGGAGGAACAAGGAUCGACUAAUUGCAUAGGAACACAUAUAUUAUUGCUUUACACGUAAAGAAAAAAUCAGUAAAAUUUUGUGCAAGUAUCUAUACCUAUUAAAAAGCCACAAGUUUCGCUGUUGUUCCUUAGGAACAGUACUUUGACGUUCCUACCCUUCACUCUUCACAUAAUUACUUGCCUGCCCUCCUUUUGCCACGCGUGCUUUUUGACACCAACUUUUCCCUUUGUCAUCCAUUCCAACUUCCAUCGCUGCUUUUUUUCUUUCUCUUUCCUCCUGGUUUGCCUAUGAAGUCUGAACCAUUCAAUUCGUCUUCUCUUGCCUUCGCAUUCUCUCUCCUCCGACAAAGGUCCAUCACUCACCUCCUCCUUAACGUCGGAUCGAAAUUGCCUAAAUUUCUUCAUUUUUCACCGAAUACUCAUAUGGUUUCUGAAUCGAUUCCUCUCAAGGGGUUCGUCGGACUUAGCUUAUCGAGUUUCAAUAGGCAGAAAAACGACAGCAGAAGGUCCUUCCUUUUUCCAACAAUAGCAGCAUCAACAACAGUCGACAGACUCAUUGAGUUUUGCAACUCUUCGAUAUUUCUCUCUCCUCAUUCAUUUCUCUGAUAAGCUUAGCAAUUCCUCUAAUUUUUUUUGGUUAAAACUUUUCAUGGUUCAAGAGAUCUCAUUAAUAUAAGUGGCCUCUAGAAUGAUCCUCUUUCACAAGUAGAAAUCACUUAUUGGUCUCUUUUAUAUGAACUUCAGGUAUGGAAAUAAUGAAUUGUAAUUGUAAGGGAUACUUAUUAUUGUAUUUAUGUUUUACAGGGCUGGUUUACUUUGUUCACAUAGUAUAGUUUUUUAAGCCAUGAAUCUGGCUCUUUGCUCUCUUGGUAAACCCUUCUUCUUUUAUUAUGUCGUUUUAGAUAAUGACACUGAAUCUCUAAUAUGAGCUGCAUUUGCCUAAAUCUAAAACAAUAUGAUUGUUUUGGACCUUGAUUUUACUGAUAGCCAAACAAUUAGUUUCUUUGGAUAUAAAUUAAAUGUAACAAUUUUUUUGACGUGAUGAAUAAAAUAGUAGGAAUUUCUAUUAUAUAAUAUCAAUGUCUACUAUUUAUAGAUUGUUUCAUCACAGAAAAGAAUUUAGAAUUUUAGUUUUAAUAGAUAUCAUUUGGUUUAGAACCUUGUUUUAAUGACAAUUUUGAGAUAAGUUAUUUUGGAUAUAAAUUAUAUAUAACAUUUAUUUUUAUUUUUUUGAUGUGAUGAAUAAAAAUAGCAGGAAUUUCUAUUAAAUAAUAUUGGUGUCUUCUAUUUAUACAUUAUUUCAUCAUAGAUAAGAAGCGUAUACAAGGAGUUGCAUCAGCUACAUGAUAAUGUAUGUAUAUCUUAAUUAUUCUAAUUUUUAAAAAAUGUCUAAUAAACCUAAUUGGCCUGGUUUUAAAUGGUAAAAUAACUAAGGAAACUGGUUUCAAACAAAAAUUGGUUUCCUAACCUCUUUACAUAACCGGCUUUCAUUUGAGAUGGAGACUGGUUGUAAUUCGAUUUCCUAUGCCAUUCUCAACUAGUUUCCUAUGCGUUUUUUUUGUAGGACUGAGGGUCAGGUAACCCCAAAAGUUAAUUAGUGUCUCAUAUAACAAUGACUUUGUUAAUGAAUAUGAACUCUAAUUGAUUGUAUUAUUAACAUGACUUGUAAUUCGUAUACAAAAUAUGGGCUUGAAAUCUCUGUUACUCCAUAAUUUACAGUUUGUUAGUUUAUUUGGGCUUCGUUUGGUAGGGCGUAAAACGUUUUCCUGGAAAACCGUUUUCCUCUAUUUUCAGUUUUACAUUGUUUGGUUGACAAAGGAGUGUAAAACCAUUUUCCCUUGGAGUAAAAUUACACUCCCAAUGAUGGAAACCAUUUUCCCUUCAAAAUGAAGGGAAAACUAUUUUUCUUAUCUCUCUUACACACUCCUCUCACUACCUCCCUAAUUUCCCUCUCAUAUUUCAUACAUUUUCAAUAUUUUUCUUACAUGAAACCAAACAAUGGAAAACUAAUUUUGGAAUUGUGUUUUCCAUUGUAAAUUAUUUUCCAUGAAAAUCAUGUUACACUGAAAUAUGUUUUACACCCUACCAAACGGAGCCUUGAUGUGGUACUGGAGGUGAUUAUUAAAAAUUAUGGAUACUUGGGCAAGUUAGAGCAAAAGUACUUGAAUUAUUCAAGAUUUCAGCUUAAUAUGUUUAGAGUUCGUAUUGUGUCGGACUCGUCCGACACAAUCAUCCAGUCGGACCACUUCACUUGAGUUUCAGGUAGUCUUCAUUUUUUUUCAGGUAGUCUUCAUUUUUUUUCAGGUAGUCCAUUAUUUCUUUCAAUUGGCCCAUUAUUUCUUUCAGUUGGUUCAUUUUUUGUUUCAGUUGGUCCAUUAUUUGUUUCAGUUGGUAUACAUAUUACGAAACAAAGUCCAACUGAAACAAAACAAAGUCCAACUGAAACAAAAUAAAGUCCAACUGAAACAAAACAAAGUCCAACUGAAACAAAACAAAGUCCAACUGAAAAUGGAAAAUAGUCCAACUGAAAAUGGAAAAUACCAACUGAAAGAAUAAAUGGGAAGAAGAUGCCAAAGAAGAUCUGAUUUUCUGGCGUGGCUCUAGUCUUCUUUUCUCUUCUUUGAUCAACUGGGUUAGAGUUUUUUCUGUGGGCUCUGAUAUGAAUGUAGGGAUUAGCGUACUGAUUGUAAUUUUGUAAUUGGUAAUGUACUGUGAACUAUUCUAACCCAGCAAUGAGAAGAGACCCUUGCAAUAAGGUGGUCAUUAUGGAACUCUAUGGUGAAAGUAUUGAUCUGUAUGGAGGAGCUGUCAUGAGAUUUUGCGGAAAUGAUGCAUAUCACUUCAUUAGAGAGGGUCUUAUCCAAAGGGAACUGAAGGCAAAGGGAACUCGCCUUGGAGCCAUUGUUGGUUUACGGGUCACGAGAUUAUGUUGUCCGAGUGAUGUCCAGACUGCUGUAGCUAAACUCUGAGGCAUCUUGAAAUUAUCAAAAAAAGAAAAAGAAGAUGCCAAAGAAACCAAACAACAACAGCUUUUCCGGUGAAGAUGGUGAAGAUGAAUAGGGGAGAGAGAAAUAGCGCAUUUGCAGAACAUGUGAAGUUCAGGAGGAAGUGAAAGUGGAGAUUUUUGGGUUUUAAAUUUGUUUCAACAAAUUCAAAGUACUGGGCUCAUCCCGUCUGACAAUAUGCAUUGGGUCAGACGGUCUGACCCAAUACUUUCACAUAUGUUUAUCAUAUAUUGUGGAGAGUUGUUGUAUGAUAUUUACUGAACAGGAGGUGCGAAGUAAAGAGUGACGAGGACUAUUUUUCACUUUCUUAAUGUAAAGCAUACGUUAGAUAAUUAUUUUUCACUUUCUUGCGUUUGAAUAUUUUCGUUCCAUUGCAUUCUCUUGUAAUUUUAAAUUUAUGGAGAUCAAUUUGAAGUCUUGUCUUUGCUAGCUA